AUGAACGCUGGCGGCGUGCCUAAUACAUGCCAGUCGAGCGAACAGACGAGGAGCUUGCUCCUCUGACGUUAGCGGCGGACGGGUGAGUAACACGUGGAUAACCUACCUAUAAGACUGGGAUAACUUCGGGAAACCGGAGCUAAUACCGGAUAAUAUAUUGAACCGCAUGGUUCAAUAGUGAAAGACGGUUUUGCUGUCACUUAUAGAUGGAUCCGCGCCGCAUUAGCUAGUUGGUAAGGUAACGGCUUACCAAGGCAACGAUGCGUAGCCGACCUGAGAGGGUGAUCGGCCACACUGGAACUGAGACACGGUCCAGACUCCUACGGGAGGCAGCAGUAGGGAAUCUUCCGCAAUGGGCGAAAGCCUGACGGAGCAACGCCGCGUGAGUGAUGAAGGUCUUCGGAUCGUAAAACUCUGUUAUUUGGGAAGAACAAAUGUGUAAGUAACUAUGCACGUCUUGACGGUACCUAAUCAGAAAGCCACGGCUAACUACGUG
rnacentral:rRNA from 1 species